GAUGAACGCUGGCGGCGUGCUUAACACAUGCAAGUCGAACGAAGCACCUUGAUUCGAUUCUUCGGAUGAAGAUCUUGGUGACUGAGUGGCGGACGGGUGAGUAACGCGUGGGUAACCUGCCUCAUACAGGGGGAUAACAGUUAGAAAUGACUGCUAAUACCGCAUAAGACCACAGCACCGCAUGGUGCAGGGGUAAAAACUCCGGUGGUAUGAGAUGGACCCGCGUCUGAUUAGGUAGUUGGUGGGGUAACGGCCUACCAAGCCGACGAUCAGUAGCCGACGUGAGAGGGUGACCGGCCACAUUGGGACUGAGACACGGCCCAAACUCCUACGGGAGGCAGCAGUGGGGAAUAUUGCACAAUGGGGGAAACCCUGAUGCAGCGACGCCGCGUGAGCGAUGAAGUAUUUCGGUAUGUAAAGCUCUAUCAGCAGGGAAGAAAAUGACGGUACCUGACUAAGAAGCACCGGCUAAAUACGUG
rnacentral:rRNA from 1 species